rnacentral:rRNA from 1 species
UACAGAGGAUGCAAGCGUUAUCCGGAAUGAUUGGGCGUAAAGCGUCUGUAGGUGGCUUUUUAAGUCCGCCGUCAAAUCCCAGGGCUCAACUCUGGACAGGCGGUGGAAACUACCAAGCUGGAGUACGGUAGGGGCAGAGGGAAUUUCCGGUGGAGCGGUGAAAUGCGUAGAGAUCGGAAGGAACGCCAGUGGUGAAGACGACUACCUGGACCAAUACUGACACUGAGGCGCGAAAGCGUGGGGAUCAAACAGG